UUGGUUCGAGUUUGUGCGCAAGGUGGCGCCACGCACCUACCGCCUGCUUCAGUUCCUGGGAAUCGCCUACCAGCGCUGCUGCCUGGUGUGCGGUGACCCAGAGGACUCGGACUCGUACGUGUGCCCCACCGAGGUGUGCCAGUGCAUAUACUGCUUUUCGUGCUGGAGCGAGAUAGAGAGGUGCUACGCCUGUGAACCUUCAGAAGAUGAAGAGUCAACGCUCUCCAGUGAAAGUCCGCCAUUUGUUCCUUAAACAAGAUUGUCGUCAAUAGAUGCAUUUGUUGUCAGUUAA